CGCUGACUGUAGGAUUGAAAACUGUUCCUGGACCACAAUCCAUGAUAAACGUGACCCCAUUGGCGCAUUGCAAAAAUUUGGUGCAAUCAAUUGGAUGUGGCAAUAAACCAGUAAAUGAAGUUGCUGAUGGUACUCUCCAUUCUCUUUCUGGUUCGGAAAUUUGUAAUGGCUGUUUCUUUGCCGAUGGUCGUAUGUUAUAUUGAUUAUGUAAAUCAAUUAAUUCACUGCCAUAACACUGGACUUUUGUUGGAAAAUCACAUUCAAGAGUUUCAGGAUUGAAGAGCGUCCCAGGUGCACAGGGUUGAACGAAAGCACGGCCAUUCCAGCAGUUGACAAAAAAUUUACAAUCAGGUUUCUUGGGACGCAACCCUGAGUCUUUGACUCCUUCAGGGACUUGAGGUUCAAUCGGAAUUGGAGUCGUGCUACUUGGUGAAUACCACAGGAUGGGAAACUCGCGUCUUAUGGCAGGUUUAACAGCAUGAGUUUCUCUUGGAUCGAAAAUCUAUAUGCAAUUUUCGAUUAUGAAUAUUAAUACAUAGGUUCUCUGACUCAAGCUAUUAUUGCUAACAUAUUACACUAUAUGAAUUCGAAAUACACAACCAAAGUGUUCGAAAUCUUACCGCAAGCGAUGUAUUACAAAAAUAUAUAAUAGUCAGCACAGCAAGCAAAAAAAUGUUUUCAGAUGGUUUCAUGGUCGGUAAAUUGAUGAGUCACUGUGGAUUCUGAAGAGUUUUAUCGAAUUAAUAUAUUAUAUUAAUUUUUCAUCAUGUAACGUCACCACGCAACACUCACUCGCAGACCAUGUACUUGUGCCAAACACUUUAUUUUAUAAAUUCCUAUACUACCGAUGACUUCCUUGUGAGUAAUGCGUUCAAUUUAGUUUGCAGCGCAAAGUUCUACACUGGGUUAUCUUAGGGCAGAGCAAAGGUCACCCCUACACUGCCUAAUGGCAUUCCAUGGCAUGUGAAAUCAGUUGUACGCUUCCAUGUGUGCACAGCUGGCCAAUUGGUUCACUGUAGUGAUCCCUAAAUGUCAGCUGUGUGAGUUACAAUUUAGAGGUCUAGAUAGAAUGAUUGACGUAUUUGUACCCACCAUUUCUUAUGAAUCGAUAGUACGAAGAUAACAUUAAAGCAGUAAACAUAACAAAAUGUUUUUCUAACAGUUUCUCCUUUCUGAGAAAAUGAAUCUUAUCUAAUUGUUUUCCUAUCUUAUUGGUAGGAAAGCACGAUACUCAAAUGAACAUUACGCAUAUGUUAAGAUAUGUACAAAAUUGGUAUCCAUCUCUCUUGCCAGAUAUGGCAAAUUGCGAAUAACCCUGUACAUUUUUUAAUUAUUUGAAGUAUAAAUUUACGCUGAGAAUUGCUGUUUUAUCUUUAUGUCUUCGAUUGCAUCUGUAAGUUGAUAAACAUACUUCUACAUUGUUAUAACUGUACUGUAGAAAAAGAUGACAGGAAAAAUUCAUAUCUGUACGUGGGCUCAAAUAAUUUGCUAUUACUUUACUUUAUUCAUAUACAUAUGUCAAGUAUGCUACAUCAGUUCAGUUUAUGUACAUUGAGUUUUAUAAUAAAUACACAUAAAAACAUGUAUAAUGAAACAUUUUACAUCAAAUCAACCAUGCUCACACUUGAAUUUUAUAUGGAAACGACGCUUCCCUUUAUUACUGUAGUCUAUGAAGUAUGUCAAAAACCCAUUUAAGAUAAAUUAGAUCAAUGAAAUGUAUUU